rnacentral:rRNA from 1 species
GAUGAACGCUGGCGGCGUGCCUAAUACAUGCAAGUCGAGCGAACAGACGAGGAGCUUGCUCCUCUGACGUUGGCGGCGGACGGGUGAGUAACACGUGGAUAACCUACCUAUAAGACUGGGAUAACUUCGGGAAACCGGAGCUAAUACCGGAUAAUAUAUUGAACCGCAUGGUUCAAUAGUGAAAGACGGUUUUGCUGUCACUUAUAGAUGGAUCCGCGCCGCAUUAGCUAGUUGGUAAGGUAACGGCUUACCAAGGCAACGAUGCGUAGCCGACCUGAGAGGGUGAUCGGCCACACUGGAACUGAGACACGGUCCAGACUCCUACGGGAGGCAGCAGUAGGGAAUCUUCCGCAAUGGGCGAAAGCUUGACGGAGCAACGCCGCGUGAGUGAUGAAGGUCUUCGGAUCGUAAAACUCUGUUAUUAGGGAAGAACAAAUGUGUAAGUAACUAUGCACGUCUCGACGGUACCUAAUCAGAAAGCCACGGCUAACUACGUG